ACCCCAUACCAUUGGCCCUGGCGGCGCCUCCGUGCGGUCCGCAACUACGCGGUACCGCCCCCCUGGAAGUCCGGCGAACCCUUAAACUCAAAGAAUUUGCGGGGCCCGCACAACCGGUGAGCGUCUGGUCAAUUCGAUGCUAACCAAAAACCUUACCCGGGCUUGACAUGGUGGAAAACCCUUGCGAAAGCGAGGGGUGCGUCCUCUGGACGGAAUCCCACCACAGGUGGUGCAUGGCCGUCGUCAGCUCGUGUCGUGAGAUGUUGGGUUAAGUCCCGCAACGAGCGCAACCCCUGCCCCUAGUUGCUACCCCGAAUGGGGAGCACUCUAGGGGGACUGCCGGCGAUAAGCCGGAGGAAGGUGGGGAUGACGUCAGGUCAGUAUGCCCCUUAUGCCCGGGGCUACACAGGCGCUACAGUGGCCAGGACAAUGGGAUGCGACCCAGCAAUGGGGAGCAAAUCCCCCAAACCUGGUCAUGGUGCGGAUUGAGGGCUGAAACUCGCCCUCAUGAAGCCGGAAUCGGUAGUAAUGGCGGAUCAGCUAAGCCGCCGUGAAUACGUUCUCGGGCCUUGCACACACCGCCCGUCACGCCACGGAAGUCAGUCUUCCCGGAAGGCCCCAAGCUAACCCGCAAGGGAGGCAGGGGACGAUGGGAAGGCUGGCAACUGGGGCGAAGUCGUAACAAGGUAA
rnacentral:rRNA from 1 species